rnacentral:rRNA from 1 species
CGGAAAACCUUACCUACCCUUGACAUGUCUGGAAGGCCGAAGAGAUUUGGCUGUGCUCGCAAGAGAACCGGAACACAGGUGCUGCAUGGCUGUCGUCAGCUCGUGUCGUGAGAUGUUGGGUUAAGUCCCGCAACGAGCGCAACCCUUGUCAUUAGUUGCUACGAAAGGGCACUCUAAUGAGACUGCCGGUGACAAACCGGAGGAAGGUGGGGAUGACGUCAAGUCCUCAUGGCCCUUAUGGGUAGGGCUUCACACGUCAUACAAUGGUCGGGACAGAGGGUCGCCAACCCGCGAGGGGGAGCCAAUCCCAGAAACCCGAUCGUAGUCCGGAUCGCAGUCUGCAACUCGACUGCGUGAAGUCGGAAUCGCUAGUAAUCGCGGAUCAGCAUGUCGCGGUGAAUACGUUCCCGGGUCUUGUACACACCGCCCGUCACACCAUGGGAGUGGGUUUUACCAGAAGUAGUUAGCCUAACCGCAAGGAGGGCGAUUACCACGGUAGGAUUCAUGACUGGGGUGAAGUCGUAACAAGGUAAGCGUAGUGCU